rnacentral:lncRNA from 10 species
AAAAUUGCCUUGUGACUCUGCUUAAUCUGGCCCCUGUCUCUUGUCCUAGCUUCUUUUGCCAGUCUUCCCCUGAAUCGCACCACUUCAGUCAUACUUACCUUCGUUCAGUUCUUUGAACCUGCCUGCUCUUCUUGCUUGGGACUUUUUGUACAUGCUGUUCUCUCUUCCUAGAAGUAAAAGCCUUCACUGGGUAUGUACAAGCUGUGAGGACAACGCAGAAGCCAAUGGGUUUUGUGUAGAGUGUGUUGAAUGGCUCUGCAAGACGUGUAUCAGAGCUCAUCAGAGGGUAAAGUUCACAAAAGACCACACUGUCAGACAGAAAGAGGAAGUAUCUCCAGAGGCAGUUGGUGUCACCAGCCAGCGACCAGUGUUUUGUCCUUUUCAUAAAAAGGAGCAGCUGAAGCUGUACUGUGAGACAUGUGACAAACUGACAUGUCGAGACUGUCAGUUGUUAGAACAUAAAGAGCAUAGAUACCAAUUUAUAGAAGAAGCUUUUCAGAAUCAGAAAGUGAUCAUAGAUACACUAAUCACCAAACUGAUGGAAA